rnacentral:rRNA from 1 species
GAAGGCCUCAAGCGUUAUCCGGAUUUAUUGGGCGUAAAGCGUUAAAAGGUGGCUGAGAAAGUUGGGUAUAAAAUCCUAAAGCUUAACUUUAGAUCUAUACUCAAAACUACUUAGCUAGAGGGCAGUAGAGGCAAGCGGAAUGGCCGGUGUAGCAGUAAAAUGCGUUAAUAUCGGUUAGAACACCAAUAGCGAAGGCAGCUUGCUGGAAUGUACCUGACACUAAAUAACGAAAGCGUGGGGAGCGAAUGGGAUUAGAUACCCCAGUAGUCCACGCUGUAAACUAUGGAUACUAGGUAUUGGAAGCUCGACCCUUCCAGUAUCGUUCUUCUASUAACGCGUUAAGUAUCCCGCCUGGGGAGUACGGCG